UCGCUCCUACCGAUUUCGAGUGGUCCGGUGAAUCUUUUGGACCGUGCGCGGCUUCGUGCCGUGUCGUGGAAAGUCAGGUAAACCUUAUCACUUAGAGGAAGGAG
rnacentral:rRNA from 1 species